rnacentral:rRNA from 1 species
GACGAACGCUGGCGGCGUGCUUAACACAUGCAAGUCGAACGAAGUGGCGAACGGGUGAGUAACGCGUAAUCAACCUGCCCUUCAGAGGGGGACAACAGUUGGAAACGACUGCUAAUACCGCAUACGGAAGGAGGGGAUUGCGUCGGAUUAGCUCGUUGGAGGGGUAACGGCCCACCAAGGCGAUGAUCAGUAGCCGGGCUGGGAGGGUGAACGGCCACAUUGGGACUGGGAACAGGGCCAGACUCCUACGGGAGGCAGCAGUGGGGAAUCUUCCGCAAUGGACGAAAGUCUGACGGAGCAACGCCGCGGGAGUGAUGACGGCCUUCGGGUUGUAAAGCUCUGUUAAGCGGGACGCGGUACCGGAAUAGAAAGCCACGGCUAACUACGUGCCAGCAGCCGCGGUAAUAC